AUUGAACGCUGGCGGCAUGCUUUACACAUGCAAGUCGAACGAGUGGCAAACGGGUGAGUAAUAUGUUGGAACGUCCCGAGUAAUGGGGGAUAACCAAUCGAAAGAUUGGCUAAAACCGCAUAGUAUUCGAGCGGCCAAUAUCUGAUUAGCUAGUUGGUGGGGUAAAGGCCUACCAAGGCGACGAUCAGUAGCGGGUCUGAGAGGAUGAUCGGCCACACUGGGACUGAGACACGGUCCAGACUCCUACGGGAGGCAGCAGUGGGGAAUCUUCCACAAUGGGCGAAAGCCUGAUGCAGCCAUGCCGCGUGUGUGAAGAAGGCCUUCGGGUUGUAAAGCUCUUUUAUUAGGGAAGCGGUACCUAAACAAUAAGCACCGGCUAACUACGUGCCAGCAGCCGCGGUAAUAC
rnacentral:rRNA from 1 species